UACGUAGGGCGCAAGCGUUGUCCGGAAUUAUUGGGCGUAAAGAGCUCGUAGGCGGUCUGUUACGUCCGCUGUGAAAACCCAGGGCUUAACCCUGGGCUUGCAGUGGAUACGGGUAGACUAGAGGCAGGUAGGGGAGAAUGGAAUUCCCGGUGUAGCGGUGAAAUGCGCAGAUAUCGGGAGGAACACCGGUGGCGAAGGCGGUUCUCUGGGCCUGACCUGACGCUGAGGGGCGAAAGCGUGGGGAGCGAACAGG
rnacentral:rRNA from 1 species